GCGACCCCAGGAUCGGCGAGGCCACCCGCCGAGUUUAAGCAUAUCAAUAAGCGGAGGAGAAG
rnacentral:rRNA from 1 species